rnacentral:rRNA from 1 species
GAUAAACGCUGGCGGCGUGCUUAACACAUGCAAGUCGAACGAAGUUUUUCUUUCGGGAGGAACUUAGUGGCGGACGGUUGAGUAACGCGUGGGUAACCUGCCCUGUACAGGGGGACAACAGCUGGAAACGGCUGCUAAUACCGCAUAAGCCCUUAGCACUGCAUGGUGCAUAGUGAAAAGGAGCAAUCCGGUACAGGAUGGACCCGCGUCUGAUUAGCCAGUUGGCAGGGUAACUGCCUACCAAAGCGACGAUCAGUAGCCGAUCUGAGAGGAUGUACGGCCACAUUGGGACUGAGACACGGCCCAGACUCCUACGGGAGGGAGCAGUGGGGAAUAUAGCAAAAUGGAGGAAACUCUGAUGCAGCGACGACGCGUGAGUGAAGAAGUAUUUCGGUAAGUAAAGCUCUAUCAGCAGGAAAGAAAAUGACGGUACCUGACUAAGAAGCACCGGCUAAAUACGUG